CUCCUGGCCCAGCAGGGAGGCUGUAAGACACCUCCUGGCUGAGGCAGGGAUGACUUCAGUGGCCUGUCCCUCCGGGGGCUGGUGCUUUGGACCACUGCCUUGACCGUUCCCUUGGUGUGGGGUGUCUGAAUUGUCUUGACAUCAGCACCAGGCAUCUGCGGUUCCUGACCCAACUGAUUCCUUCUCCUAGACGUGGUCUCAGCCCUUCUCUUUUCUGCCUGCCUCGAUCCUGAAUGGCAGCAACUUAGGAUCCAAGGGCCUAAGUACUCCAGCCUUGAAGGAAUCAGAGGAGGCUUAUGGAGCUGUCCCUGGCAACCCCAACGGGACCGCUUUGCAUUCCUGCCAGCUUCUCCUAUAGCGUCGUGACCAAGGGCACAAGGAAGCUCUGGAGCCAGACUGCCUGGGUUCAGGGCCAUGACUAGCCGUGUGACCUUAGGUCCCGGUCGCCAGAGAUGCCCGAUCAUGUGCCAUCCCACAGCCAAGCGCCUGUGUCCAUCUGCUAGGGAGCCCGAGGCGAGAUGAUGGCCUUCUUCUCAAGUUCCACGCAGCCGAGGAGCAGUGCAGGGGGCCUGGUGGGCUCAGCAGCACCCCUGAUGGGUUCCCAGAGAAGAGCUGCUGAGCUCAGAAGCGAGCGCCUGACAAGAGUUGUGCCGCACGCGGCCACACUGAGUUCCAGAGAGGCUGCUCUUGCGUCUCCCACACAGACGGGUCUGCUGCUCUGGACGGACGCCCACCUCCCUACAGCCUUGUUCUCAUGGAAUAUUACCUCUUCCUUUUUCAUCUUUGCCAAGAGCACAUCAUGUGUCUUAUUUUGCAUUUAUUUGGUCUUUACCGAGAUUGAAAAUAUUUUCAAGUGUUUCCUGGCCAUUUCUGUUUCUUCUGUGAAUUGCUGUUCAUCUAGACUGAAUUUUCUGUGUUUGCUUUUGCUUUCUCUUGCCUGGAAGGAGUAGCUCCUGGCUGAACUGAUGGCUAAGAGUUGAGCCAGGAUGUGGGCAUCCUGGCCUCCAGAGGUUUCUAAGGUGGAAGGAAACGAGCCAGUUGGCCUGAAAAAUCUGGGAGUGCACCAGCCUCCACUCCCUGUGGGAAGAUGGGUGGGGCAGCUUUACACAGAGCUUCACAGGGAGAAUGGACUACCACUUGCCUUGAUAGAGAGGGUUGGACCAAAUGAUUCUGGUGGUUUCUCUGAUCCCCAGAUUCCAUGAAAGAUGGGGAAUUUGGAAGCCAAACUUAGAUAUGGCCUGGCUUCCAGAUCUAAAUUCUGACCUGCUCUGGAAUUAGGGUGGGGUGACUGGCAGAGUCAGAGUGAGGAGAGGCUGGACAGGCGGAGGAGAGGCAAACUCAUUAUGCUCCUGGAGCAAGUGAGGACCACCCCACAUGGGGCCUGGCUCCCCCUCCUAGCACCAGGCAGAACCGUGGCCCAUGUGCUGUUUGCUUUCCUUUCACCUUGCCCUGGAAUUUUUCUGGCCCCAGAAAUAUGGGCCACCAGAGCUACAAACGUCCUCUAAGAUCUUCCAGGGUGAGGAGAAGAGCCAAGCAAAAAAGGAGAAGUAAAAACAAAGAUGAGCACACACCCCUAUGACCACAUUUAUAAAAAGUUAAAUAUAUUUAUGCAGUAUAUCUAAAAAGCAAGUGAAUAAAACUCUCUCUCUCUCUUUUUUUUUUUUUUACAAAAUAUUUCCUUCCCCCAAAUUGUUCUGCUAGAGCUCUGUUCGCUAAAGAGUGGCGAUGAGGGGAUGAGACCUUCCUUAUCCACCCCCCUAUUUUGCAGAAGAACAAACUGAGGCACAGGGCAGGCACACGAUUGCCACACACAGCAAGUGGCGUUUGAUCCUGAAUCUCCUGCCU
ensembl:lncRNA